GGAACCUUGGAAAGAAAAACAAUAAUAAGCAAAUCCUGGAAAGUUUGUUUCAUUUAAGAAAUCGAUUCCAAAAUUUUGUAAUUGCAGUGACAAUAUUACAUUAGCUCAUGAAAUAAAUAAGUAAAUCGGUAAAUAAAAAUAAAAUUCCUUGAUUUGCACUACCUUCACAUCUUGUCAGGUGAACGACUGUUUCGUCUCUGCUGACUUUGUUCACAACAUGACACUUCAAGCUUCCUGUCACUUGACCAUGUAAGCUGAUGGUAACAUUUGAACUGCUGGCUUUGUGUUCAGCUUCACUCCCAGCCAGUGGCUUCAUGUUUGCUGUCCAGUUUGUCUGGGACUGGCUGUGGCCUCUGGUCUGCACCAGUAAGAGACCAUCCAAGGUCAAAGUGAACUCUACUUCAUCUCCCUCAGAGGAGCAGCUGAUGAUCAUCUGUUCUGGUGACAGACACGUCUGAGACACAGCAGGCUUUGACACUGGAGCUGGAGGACAAAGGGUUGACUUUGGUCAUCGCCGUUGUUCUAAAGUGUCAGUGACAGACACACAGGCGUCUGUCCAAGAGGUAGCUGGGGAGCCGGCAGAUAGCAAGGCCCUUUGCACUACCUUCACAUCUUGUCAGCCUAUCCCAGCCAACUACGGGCGAGAGGCGGGGUACACCCUGGACUGGUUGCCAGCCAUUAUAAACUCAGUCAAGUGUUCUAAGAGCAUGUUAGACCUGCUAAGAGAAGAGGGGUGUUCCUGCAAGGGACAUGUGUACUGUGACAACAUAUUCGACAGCAAAACUGUUUA